GCUUUUCUAGUAUACUGAAUACAAUUGACUUCCAAUCUCUAAAAUCUGGUAAUAACCCAGAGAAAAGCA
rnacentral:tRNA from 4 species